rnacentral:rRNA from 1 species
UGGGGAAUAUUGCACAAUGGGCGAAAGCCUGAUGCAGCAACGCCGCGUGAGUGAUGAAGGCCUUCGGGUUGUAAAGCUCUGUCUUUUGGGACGAUAAUGACGGUACCAAAGGAGGAAGCCACGGCUAACUACGUGCCAGCAGCCGCGGUAAUACGUAGGUGGCAAGCGUUGUCCGGAUUUACUGGGCGUAAAGGAUGCGUAGGCGGAUUUUUAAGUGAGAUGUGAAAACCCUAGCUUAACUUGGGGACUGCAUUUCAUACUGGAAAUCUAGAGUGCGGGAGAGGAGAAUGGAAUUCCUAGUGUAGCGGUGAAAUGCGUAGAGAUUAGGAAGAACACCAGUGGCGAAGGCGAUUCUCUGGACCGUACUGACGCUGAGGCAUGAAAGCGUGGGUAGCAAACAGGAUUAGAUACCCUGGUAGUCCACGCCGUAAACGAUGAGUACUAGGUGUAGGAGGUAUCGACCCCUUCUGUGCCGCAGUUAACACAAUAAGUACUCCGCCUGGGAAGUACGAUCGCAAGAUUAAAACUCAAAUGAA